UACGUAGGGCGCGAGCGUUGUCCGGAAUUAUUGGGCGUAAAGAGCUCGUAGGCGGCCUGUUGCGUCCGCUGUGAAAUCCCGGGGCUUAACCCUGGGCGUGCAGUGGAUACGGGCAGGCUGGAGGCAGGCAGGGGAGAACGGAAUUCCCAGUGUAGAGGUGAAAUUCGUAGAUAUUGGGAAGAACACCGGUGGCGAAGGCGGCUCACUGGCCCGAAACUGACGCUCAUGCACGACAGCGUGGGGAUCAAACAGG
rnacentral:rRNA from 1 species